ensembl:lncRNA LINC00662 long intergenic non-protein coding RNA 662
ACAGGCCCUCUCUCAAGGUCACCACCUCCACUCCCGUUGUAUGCUGGGAUUGUAGUCCGGCCGCCCUGUGACUAACGGCUGGAACCGCCUAAGACACCACCCCAGCCAGCAUGGCCGGCAGGAGCGCACCGCGCUGUCUCCCUCCAGGGAUCCGCACCGCCCUACAAUCCUGCUUUGUGCUGAGAUUGUAGUCCUGCAGGCGUACAACUAACAAGCUGGGUGCAGAUAAGAGACUACAGCUCCCCGCAUCCCAAGCAAAGGUCCCUCCUCUACGGAGCCCCUCCACGCGUCCACUGCGGUUCCGCCGUGCCAAGGGGAGCUUGGCUGUUCACGGGCCUCACCUGCUAGCGAGAAGAUAGCUUGGCCGGGCGGCUGAUCUCACCUUGUAAUUCUGACACUGUGUCUCCCGGGCUUGUCGGCUUCAUGACUUGUGCCCAAAGUUUGAUUUCUCGCAGACCAGGAGGACCCAUUGGACCCCCGGGCUGGCUGCAGGGCCCACACCUGGGUUAGACCUCGCACAGGGACGCUGCUGCCACUGUAAUAAAGCGUGCCUACACGCUUCUGAAACUGGUGUAGGAACAACCUCAGUUCUGUGAAAGGCGGACGCAGCAGGACAGAAUCUCCGUGGACAUCUGUCUGGAGGAGCAAUUUUACUGCGACAUUUUAAAGAAACAAAUUUAAUUGAUUUCCAAGGUAAGAAAUUAAACCUUGAAAACUAAACUGAAAAGUCAUCUGUGUUUGACAAGUCAGACUUUCUCCAAGAAGAAAACUAAGGAGUGCAUAUUUUCCAUUAUUAUAAAUAGUGAAAAUGAGAAAUCAUAGCAACUCCCUGGAAAAUCUUGCUCUGCCAGUUUUCUAAAUCACAGUAGGGCCUCGAUAUGGUUUUAUUUGUUUUUGUUUUUGUUUUGGAGUGUGUUCACCUUUUGAAUAUAAGAAUUUGCGGUUUUGACCAAGUUUUUAAAUUUUCAGCUAUUGUUUAUUUGUUUUUGUAUUAUAUUUAAUUUUUCUGUCUCUCCCUCUCUGUCUCAGACUCAAUCAUUUCACAGGUCUCUUAGGCCUCUUUUCAUUUUCUUUAAACUUGUUUCAGUCUUCAGAUUGGAUGGUUUAUAUUGCUGUCUUCUGUUUCUACUCUGUAAACUAAAAGUUCUUUUUAUUUUAUUAUUUUAUUGUCUUCUAUUUUACUCUUUUUAUAAUUUCCAUGUCUCUGCUGAGACUCUACAUGAGUUAAUUCAUUAUGAGAAUAUUUUCCUUUACCCCCAUGAACGUACUUAUAAUAGCUGCCCUGAAAUACUUGUCUGCUGAUUACAUCAUCUCGGACAUCUUAGAAAUAGCUUCUGCUGCCUGCUUUUUAUCUUGUGUAUAGUUUGCAUGUUACAUUUCUUCACACAUUUUAUGAAUUUUAAUAUUGUGUAAUAGAAAUUAUAAAUAUUAGUUAUAGAGACUAAAUUCUGUUGUAUUCUUUGGAAGAGCAUUGUUAUUAUUUGAAGAGGGGGUAAAUGUGGCUGAAUUCAAACAGAAUAAUUAUCUUCCCUACGGUGGGAAAGGUUGAAAUUCUCAUUCAGUCACACACACGUAUGUAUGUAUUGUAUAUAGAUGAAUGUUUCUAUGUAACUAUAUAUAAUAUUUUAUCCAGAUUG